rnacentral:lncRNA from 1 species
ACCAACAGGGCCAGACGAUCAGAAAAGUGCCCCGGGCUCUGCUGCCCUUGGAGAGUCAGGGCUGGGGGCCGAGAGCAAGGGUCCAGGGCAUGGAGGGCCCUCCCGCCUGGGUUUUUGCUUACAGAUGGAGAAGUGGGAUUAUUAAGCCAGAGGGUGUGCUUCAGAAGGUGUGCUUACGAAGGGGCUUUCGGGUCACAAUGCAGAGAACUUCCUCGCAGUGAGCAGCCUUGGGUCCUGGGGUAAUACAGCCAGCCCAGGGCAUUUGGGAAGCACUUAGCCAGGCCUGACAGUGGCCAGGCUGCUUCAUAAGACGCCUGGUGCACUAAAGAAGACUAGCAAAGCAGGGGGCGGACUAAAGUGGGCGGGAAAUGCUGCUUUCAUGCAUCUGCGUGUUGACAGCUAAUGAGGAAGAAAGGGAAGGCCCCUUCCCAUACAGGGCUGGAAAACGUGCAAAAAAAAUGCCCAUGGCCUGAGACCAGGCGCUACAGGCUAUGGGCAGGACAAGCCUGGGCCUCCCUUCCCGGGUCUGUCCUGGGCUCCCUGGCUGCUGUGGGUCCCCCCAGGCAAGAUACUCACCCCACUGGGAUGGCUGAGCAGAGAGCUGGAGGCAGCAAAUGGAAGCACCAUCUACUGGGAACCUCAUGUCCCUAAAGAAUAAGCAGGUUGCUUCUGUCACCACUUUUUUCAAUUUAAAGGAGA